ACAACAUUUGUGCUUUAUAGUUUACACAGUUUGCACAAACGAUUCCAAAGCAUAUUCGGAAUCUGUCAAGUCAAAAAGUAAUAGUAGUGAAAAUCCUGCGAGAGUUUUCUCAAGUGAAAACUAUUAAAAUGCGACUCUGAUCUAGCAGCCUAGCUGGGGAUUUUCCAAUGUAAAGUCAGCGGUUGCAAUUGGUCUUAAAAUUUAUUGCGCUGGCGCAGCUUCACGAUUCUAUGCUUACGAAACGACUGCUCGCACGAGCCAUACAAAAUGUUUCUCUGAACAUAAAGCUUCUCAGUAGAAGAGUAAUCCAAUGAGCCGAACUACAAAUUACGCUCGAAUGGCUCCGUCGCUUUAACCAUGUGGUCGCUGCUAAUUGAUAAGAUGUUUGUGGAUGGACAAUGACGUUUAAUGACGCCUCCAAAUCGAGAUUUCCAAUUCCCAGUGACUGUAAUGAUGCAUAAAGAGCAGAUAUUUC
rnacentral:sRNA from 1 species